CAAUGGGGGAAACCCUGACGCAGCAACGCCGCGUGGAGGAUGAAAUCCCUUGGGAUGUAAACUCCUUUCGAUCGGGACGAUUAUGACGGUACCGGAAGAAGAAGCCCCGGCUAACUUCGUGCCAGCAGCCGCGGUAAUACGAGGGGGGCAAGCGUUGUUCGGAAUUAUUGGGCGUAAAGGGCGCGUAGGCGGUUUGACAAGUCUGAUGUGAAAUCUCUGGGCUCAACCCAGAGUCUGCAUU
rnacentral:rRNA from 1 species